rnacentral:rRNA from 1 species
GACGAACGCUGGCGGCGUGCUUAACACAUGCAAGUCGAACGGAAAGGCCCUGCUUUUGUGGGGUGCUCGAGUGGCGAACGGGUGAGUAACACGUGAGUAACCUGCCCUUGACUUUGGGAUAACUUCAGGAAACUGGGGCUAAUACCGGAUAGGAGCUCCUGCUGCAUGGUGGGGGUUGGAAAGUUUCGGCGGUUGGGGAUGGACUCGCGGCUUAUCAGCUUGUUGGUGGGGUAGUGGCUUACCAAGGCUUUGACGGGUAGCCGGCCUGAGAGGGUGACCGGCCACAUUGGGACUGAGAUACGGACCAGACUCCAACGGGAGGCAGCAGUCGGGAAUCUUGCACAAUGGGCGGAAGCCUGAUGCAGCAACGCCGCGUGCGGGAUGACGGCCUUCGGGUUGUAAACCGCUUUCGCCUGUGACGAAGCGUGAGUGACGGUAAUGGGUAAAGAAGCACCGGCUAACUACGUG